rnacentral:rRNA from 1 species
UACGAAGGGGGCUAGCGUUGCUCGGAAUCACUGGGCGUAAAGCGCACGUAGGCGGAUCGUUAAGUCAGGGGUGAAAUCCUGGAGCUCAACUCCAGAACUGCCUUUGAUACUGGCGAUCUUGAGUUCGGGAGAGGUGAGUGGAACUGCGAGUGUAAAGGUGAAAUUCGUAGAUAUUCGCAAGAACACCAGUGGCGAAGGCGGCUCACUGGCCCGGUACUGACGCUGAGGUGCGAAAGCGUGGGGAGCAAACAGG